UACGUAGGGGGCAAGCGUUGUCCGGAUUUAUUGGGCGUAAAGCGCUCGCAGGUGGUUCGUCGCGUCGUGCGUGAAAGACCCCGGUUCAACUGGGGGAGGUCGUGCGAUACGGGCGGACUGGAGGCCAGUAGGGGGAUGCGGAAUUCCGGGUGUAGUGGUGGAAUGCGUAGAGAUCCGGAGGAACACCAGCGGCGAAGGCGGCAUCCUGGACUGGUCCUGACACUCAUGAGCGAAAGCGUGGGGAGCGAUCCGG
rnacentral:rRNA from 1 species